rnacentral:rRNA from 1 species
CCACGGGUGGCAGCAGUGAGGAAUAUUGGUCAAUGGGCGCGAGCCUGAACCAGCCACGUAGCGUGAAGGAUGACUGCCCUACGGGUUGUAAACUUCUUUUAUAAAGGAAUAAAGUGAGGCACGUGUGCCUAUUUGUAUGUACUUUAUGAAUAAGGAUCGGCUAACUCCGUGCUAGCAGCCGCGGUAAUACGGAGGAUCCGAGCGUUAUCCGGAUUUAUUGGGUUUAAAGGGAGCGUAGAUGGGUUGUUAAGUCAGUUGUGAAAGUUUGCGGCUCAACCGUAAAAUUGCAAUUGAUACUGGCAGUCUGGAGUACAGUUGAGGUAGGCGGAAUUCGUGGUGUAGCGGGGAAAUGCUUAGAUAGCACGAAGAACUCCGAUUGCGAAGGCAGCUUACUAAACUGCCACUGACAUUGAUGCUCGAAAGUGUGGGUAUCAAACAGGAUUAGAUGCCCGGGUAGUC